AGAGUUUGAUUCUGGCUCAGAUUGAACGCUGGCGGCAUGGCUAAAACAUGCAAGUCGAGCGGGAUCGCAAGAUCUAGUGGCGGAAGGGUGAGUAAUGGUAUCGAACGUGCCCCGAGGUGGGGGAUAGGCAUGGGAAACUGUGCGUAAUACCCCAUGAUUUCCAAGGAACAAAGCUUCGGCGCCUUGGGAGCGGCGAUACUCCUAUCAGGUAGUUGGCGGGGUAAUGUCCCACCAAGCCGAAGACGGGUAGCCGGUAUGAGAGUACGGCCGGCCACAUCGGGACUGAGACACUGCCCGGACUCCUACGGGAGGCUGCAGUAACGAAUAUUCCACAAUGCACGAAAGUGUGAUGGAGCAAUGCCGCGUGCGGGAUGAAGCAUCUUUGGUGUGUAAACCGCUGUCAGGAGAUAGAAAUACUGAUCAUCUCCAGAGGAAGUGGCGACUAACUUUGUGCCAGCCGCCGCGGUAA
rnacentral:rRNA from 1 species